GAAAUCAGACCUGGUUCGACUAGAGAGGGAGGAAGAGGAGGAACUAACCAACCAACAGGUCACGCAGGCAGCAGCUUAACAGCCUUCAGAGAUCUCAAAUUUCAUAUCAUUCAAUCCCAAAAACUGAAUAUUUCGAUGGACUUGUUUACAGAUAUGAAGGGAAAGAAAGUCUCCUAAUCAAACUCUAAAAUGAUGGUAGAGUUUGAAACAAACUCCAAUGCAACCUUCCGACUGCUAACAGGAAUAAAAUAACACAAAAUAAUAAAUACCAAUUGACAAAAAGAAGUAUAGAAUUAACAAAUAAAUUCCUAAAUAUCCCUAAAUAAUCCAUAACCCAGGUUCGGACCCAGUUCUUCUCAACCGGGGUUUCCAGACUAGGUCAAGCCAUCCAGCCAUGGAUGUGCAACUGCAUUUUAUAUGGAAUGGGUAACAUGAAUUAGAGAUAUGAUAAAUCAUCCAGACAGUAUUGAAAAUUGAAAC